UACAUGAAGUUGGAAUUGCUAGUAAUCGCGGAUCAGCAUGCCGCGGUGAAUACGUUCCCGGGCCUUGUACACACCGCCCGUCACACCAUGGGAGUUUGUAACACCCGAAGUCAGUGUCCCAACCGCAAGGAGGGAGCUGCCGAAGGUGGGAUAAGCGACUGGGGUGAAGUCGUAACAAGGUAGC
rnacentral:rRNA from 1 species